CCAGACUCCUACGGGAGGCAGCAGUGGGGAAUAUUGGGCAAUGGGCGCAAGCCUGACCCAGCAACGCCGCGUGAAGGAAGAAGGCCCUCGGGUUGUAAACUUCUUUUAUCAGGGACGAAACAAAUGACGGUACCUGAUGAAUAAGCCACGGCUAACUACGUGCCAGCAGCCGCGGUAAUACGUAGGUGGCAAGCGUUAUCCGGAUUUACUGGGUGUAAAGGGCGUGUAGACGGGAGAGCAAGUCAGACGUGAAAUUCCAGGGCUCAACCCUGGAACUGCGUUUGAAACUGUUCUUCUUGAGUGAUGGAGAGGCAGGCGGAAUUCCGUGUGUAGCGGUGAAAUGCGUAGAUAUUAGGAGGAACACCAGUGGCGAAGGCGGCUUACUGGACUGUAACUGACGUUGAGGCUCGAAAGCGUGGGGAGCAAACAGGAUUAGAUACCCUAGUA
rnacentral:rRNA from 1 species